UACGUAGGGGGCAAGCGUUGUCCGGAAUCAUUGGGCGUAAAGAGCGUGUAGGCGGCUCGAUAAGUCUGAUGUGAAAGCCCUGGGCUCAACCUGGGAAUGGCAUUGGAAACUGGCGACCUAGAGUGCGGUAGAGGGUAGUGGAAUUCCCGGUGUAGCAGUGAAAUGCGUAGAGAUCGGGAGGAACAUCUGUGGCGAAGGCGACUGCCUGGACCAGCACUGACACUGAGGCACGAAAGCGUGGGGAGCAAACAGG
rnacentral:rRNA from 1 species